rnacentral:pre_miRNA from 1 species
AGUAUAAUUGCUGGGUCAUAUGUUAACUUAACGUUAAACCUUUUGAGGAACUGCCAAAUUGUUCAUCAAAGUGGUUGUAACAUUUUAUCUUCCCACCAGCAAU